rnacentral:rRNA from 1 species
UACGUAGGGGGCUAGCGUUGUCCGGAUUUAUUGGGCGUAAAGAGCGUGUAGGCGGCCAGGUAGGUCGGUUGUGAAAACUGGAGGCUCAACCUUCAGAGGUCGACCGAAACCAUCUGGCUAGAGUCCGGGAGAGGAGAGUGGAAAUUCCUGGUGUAGCGGUGAAAUGCGCAGAUAUCAGGAAGAACACCCGUGGCGAAAAGCGGCUCUCUGGAACGGUACUGACGCUGAGACGCGAAAGCGUGGGGAGCGAACAGG